rnacentral:rRNA from 1 species
UGGGGAAUAUUGCACAAUGGGCGCAAGCCUGAUGCAGCGACGCCGCGUGGGGGAUGAAGGCCUUCGGGUUGUAAACUCCUUUCGCUAGGGAAGAAGCCACUUGUGGUGACGGUACCUGGAUAAGAAGCACCGGCUAACUACGUGCCAGCAGCCGCGGUAAUACGUAGGGUGCGAGCGUUGUCCGGAAUUACUGGGCGUAAAGAGCUCGUAGGUGGUUUGUCGCGUCGUCUGUGAAAUUCCGGGGCUUAACUUCGGGCGUGCAGGCGAUACGGGCAUAACUAGAGUGCUGUAGGGGAGACUGGAAUUCCUGGUGUAGCGGUGAAAUGCGCAGAUAUCAGGAGGAACACCGAUGGCGAAGGCAGGUCUCUGGGCAGUUACUGACGCUGAGGAGCGAAAGCAUGGGUAGCGAACAGGAUUAGAUACCCUGGUAGUCCAUGCCGUAAACGGUGGGCGCUAGGUGUGGGGGUUUUAUUUACGAUUCCCGUGCCGUAGCUAACGCAUUAAGCGCCCCGCCUGGGGAGUACGGCCGCAAGGCU